GCUUUUUUUAGGGCUGCACCUGCGGCACAUGGAGUUUCCCAGGCUAGGGGUCGAAUCAGAGCUAUAGCUGCCAGCCUACACCACAGCCACAGCAACGCCAGAUCUAAGCUGAAUCUGCAACCUACAGCACAGCUCACCGCAAGGCCAGAUCCUGAGCGAGGCCAGGAAUGGAACCCGAAACCUCACCAUUCCUAGUCAGAUUCAUUUCUGCUGGGCCACAACAGGAACUCCUAAGAUCAGAAUUUUCUAUUUUCAAAUUUUUUCUUUUUUUUUUAAUAGCUGCACCUAUGGAAUCUGGAAGUUCUCAGGCUAGGGGUUGAAUAGCUGCUGGCCUACCCAACAGCCACAAUACUGGAUCCAAGCCACAUCUAUAACUUACACUGCAGCUUGAGACAAUGUUGGAUCCUUAACCCACUGAGCAAGGUCAGGGAUUUGAACCCACAUAUUCACAGAGACAAUGUUGUGUCCUUAAACCCGCUGAGCCACAACAGGAACUUCCAGUCAUUCAAGUUUUACCUGCCCAAUUUUUUCCAUGUCCAUUUAUCGUUAUUUAUGUUUUUCUUUAAAUCAGCUUUUUAAAAAAAAAACUGUCCUAAGUGAAAACAUUCAUGAAUAAGAUUUGAAGACAUUUACAAUGUAUAAUUGACUCUCAGAAAAUAAAACUACGUGCUAUAUGCAAUUAUUUUUAUAUGUUGUGCACUUUAUGACUCUGGACUAGAAGAUCUCUGAAGUUCUUCCCAAACUAACAUUCUGAAAAUUUAGGUUAGUUCCUCAACUUCUGCAAUUUAGUUGUUCACUAAAGAACAACUUUAAGUGCCACAAUGCAUUUAACCGAAAACUUGUAACCAUAAAGAAGCAUUAAGAUCCAUGCCAUGAUAUUCCCCUUCUUAAAAACCCAAAAUAGACACACUGAAAUUGAUAAAUUCAGUAUACUGUUAGAUAGGAAUUUAUAAAACAUUUAGAGGAUACAGAAGUGAGUGAUGUGAUAAAUGGUAGGAAGGGAGUAAACUUUUUUUUUUUUUUGUCUUUUUGCCUUUUCUUGAGCCGCACCCUUGGCAUACGGAGGUGCAGACCUGAAAAGGCCAAAAAACCAAAAAGACAAAAAUAAUUUACCCACCAGAAAAUUAUAUUUCUGUAUAAUUUUGAUAUGGUUCCGAUUAUUAAUCUCAGCUUACUCUAAAGAACAAGGACAAAAGUAUUUAUUAUUUCAACUGCAAUAUUUUUGGUAGUGGAUACUAUCUAGACAAGAUAUUAAAAACUAGAAACCUGAGUUUUUAUUCAAAACAUAUCUUUUAUUAAAAUUUUCAAUAAAUUGUUCAAUAUUUUUAGCAAGAAAAAAGAUUAUCCAGGUCAUAUUUGUUUGCCUAUUUAAAACUAAAAACAGGAGUUGCCUUGAGGUGCAGGCUGUUAAGGAUCCAGCAUUGUCACUGCAGCAGCUUGGGUCAUUGCUGUUGCGUGGUUCCAUCACUGGUCCAGCAACUUCCACAUGCCACAGGUAUGACCAAAAAAAAAAGAACAAAAAAAGAAAAAUAAAGACAGAAAGAAGAAAGAAAAGAACAAAGAACUGAAAGUUACGAUAACAAAAAGUCCUCUUUUUGGCUACAUCUACUGCAUUCAGAAGUUCCAGGGGCAGGGAUCAAACCUGGGCCACAGCAGCAACCAGAACUGCAGCAGUGACAACCCUAGAGCUUUAAACCACUGAGCCAGAAGGAAACUCCAACAAGAAUUCCUUUUAAGUAUCUAAAUAAUCAUCCCUUUAACAGUAUGGGAAUAAGAUUAGUAGAUAAUACAAUAUUUCUAUUUAGCAAUGUGAGGAAAUUUUUUCUUCUUACAAUGAAGAAAUCAUUUUUCACAAAUGUGAUUUUUGGGUUUAGGUAGUACCAGUUUAAUAUCAAGAUUACUAAGGAAAAUGAAUAAGGAAUUUGUUGUGACACUUUAAUAUGAAAAAUCUUUAUACAGAGAAUUAUUUUUCAAAUCACCUAUGAAGCAGCCUCCAAGCAACUGACUGGCUACUAAAAUUUCUAGUGUUUUUUUUCUGGCGGGGGGGGGGGCACACCCACGAUAUACAAAAGUUCCUGGGCCAGAGAUCAAACCUGAGCCACAGCAGUGAUACCAAAUCCUUAACCUCUAAGCCACCAGGGAACUCCCUAAAACUUAGUUUUUAAACUUACAAAUUGAGCACAUAAGUUCAUGUAAACAUGCAAAUUACAUGUGACAGCUUUGUGAAUUUAUAUUUUACACCAUAAAUCUACACGUUUCUUGGAGUUCUCUUGUAGCACAGUAGGUUAAGGAUUUGGCAUCAACACUGCAGUGGCUUGGGUCACUGCUGUGGUGCAGGUUUGAUCCCUGGCCCAGGGAACUUCCACAUGCCACAAGCACAGCCAAAAAACAUGUGCACAUUUAUUUCUCUUAGAUUUGAAUGUUGUCAUAAGAGAUUAAUUUAUGGAAAGCUAAACAAAUAUAAGGUAUAUUUGUCAAUCUAUAAACUCAAUGCCAUGAAUAAAAAUUAUUGUAGGGACCCUGUAUCUUAAGUCAUCAGAACUGAAAGCUACAGAACUCCUGUUAUGGCUCAGAGUAAUGAAUCUGACUAGUAUCCAUAAAGACUCGGGUUCAAUUCCUGGCCCUGCUCAGUGGGGUGCAGCCUUAAAAAGACAAAAAAACCCCAAAAAACAAAAAACAAAAAAACCUCUGAAAGUUACAAAGGAAUGUGUGUAUGUGUGUGUGUGUGUGUUUUCAAAAGUUCAUUUUUAACUUAAAAAGACGAGAUUGUGUUAAUUGUAGAGUAAACCUGACUAACCAAAUUUGCUACUCUGUUGGGAUUUCCAGUUUGUCUUAACCAUUUAUUUUCAGUUAAAUAAAUAGUAUUGAUUUUUUAAAGUCAAUCUGCUUCCCAAGAGGAUUGUGGCUAUUUGAUUUUUUUUUUUUUGUCGUUUUAGGGCUGCACCCAUAGCAUAUGGAAGUUCCCAGGCUAGGGGUAGAAUUGGAGCUGCAGCUGCUUGGCCUAUGUCACAGCCACAGCAACUUGGGAUCCUAACGCCUCUGCAACCUAUACCACAGCUCACAGCAAUGCCAGAUCCUUAACCCUCUGAGCGAGGCCAUGGAUCAAACCCAAGCCCUCAUGGAUACUAGUCUGGUUCACUACCGCUGAGCCAUGACACGAACUCCCUGGCUAUUUGAUUUUUAUUAGCUUUUUCAAAUUUAUGCCAUUUACAGUGCUUUUAAGUCAUCAAAAUUCCAUUGAAAAUUAAUCACAGUAGCUUGGGUAAUAUAUUAACUUGGUUGCAAAAGGCACUAAGACUGAUAAAACAAGAUUUAACUGCAUAGUGCCAGGAAUCAAGAAAAUUUGAAAAAUUUUUAAAUUAGGAAUAGCAUUAGUCUAUCGAAAAACAAAAAAUUGUAUAUGCUACAACUGCCAAUAAUUCAGCAAUCACCUAACCCUGUGAAACUGAGAAACUAGUUAAUAUGGGAUUAUACACAUUCAGAAAGGUGAUUUUAUUUUUUUAAAUUUUUAUUUAUUUAUUUAUUUUAUUUUAUUUUUUUGUCUUUUUUUUGCUAUUUCUUG
rnacentral:lncRNA from 1 species